UACGUAGGGUGCAAGCGUUGUCCGGAAUUAUUGGGCGUAAAGAGCUCGUAGGCGGCCUGUCGCGUCGGCUGUGAAAACUCAGGGCUCAACCCUGAGCCUGCAGUCGAUACGGGCAGGCUAGAGUCCGGCAGGGGAGACUGGAAUUCCUGGUGUAGCGGUGAAAUGCGCAGAUAUCAGGAGGAACACCGGUGGCGAAGGCGGGUCUCUGGGCCGGAACUGACGCUGAGGAGCGAAAGCGUGGGGAGCGAGCAGG
rnacentral:rRNA from 1 species